rnacentral:rRNA from 1 species
CAGCACCUCAAGUGGUCAGGAUGAUUAUUGGGCCUAAAGCAUCCGUAGCCGGCGCUGUAAGUUUUCGGUUAAAUCUGUACGCUCAACGUACAGGCUGCCGGGAAUACUGCAGCGCUAGGGAGUGGGAGAGGUAGACGGUACUCGGUAGGAAGGGGUAAAUCCUUUGAUCUAUUGAUGACCACCUGUGGCGAAGGCGGUCUACCAGAACACGUCCGACGGUGAGGGAUGAAAGCUGGGGGAGCAAACCGGAUUAGAUACCCGCGUAGUCC